CGGCGCGGGUAUGCCCAGUACGGCGAGUGAAGCGGCAAGAGCUCAAAUUUGAAAGCUGGCUCCUUCGGGGUCCGCAUUGUAAUUUGUAGAGGAUGCUUCGGGAGCGGUCCCCAUCUAAGUGCCCUGGAACGGGACGUCAUAGAGGGUGAGAAUCCCGUAUGGGAUGGGGUGUCCGCGCCCGUGUGAAGCUCCUUCGACGAGUCGAGUUGUUUGGGAAUGCAGCUCUAAAUGGGUGGUAAAUUUCAUCUAAAGCUAAAUAUUGGCCGGAGACCGAUAGCGCACAAGUAGAGUGAUCGAAAGAUGAAAAGCACUUUGAAAAGAGAGUUAAAAAGCACGUGAAAUUGUUGAAAGGGAAGCGCUUGCGACCAGACUCGCUCGCGGGGUUCAGCCGGCAUUCGUGCCGGUGUACUUCCCCGCGGGCGGGCCAGCGUCGGUUUGGGCGGUCGGUCAAAGGCCCUCGGAAGGUAACGCCCCUAGGGGCGUCUUAUAGCCGAGGGUGCAAUGCGACCUGCCUAGACCGAGGAACGCGCUUCGGCUCGGACGCUGGCAUAAUGGUCGUAAACGACCCGUCUUGAAAACGGGACCAAA
rnacentral:rRNA from 1 species